UGCUAAUCUUAUUUAACUCUAGGCUUUACAAUUGUAAAUGAGAAAGAAAACUCAUUGAAAUAAGAUACUACGUUAAAUACUGAUAAUAUUUAA
rnacentral:ncRNA from 1 species